rnacentral:rRNA from 1 species
UACGUAGGGGGCUAGCGUUGUCCGGAAUCAUUGGGCGUAAAGCGCGUGUAGGCGGUCCGGUAAGUCCGCUGUGAAAGUCGAGGGCUCAACCCUCGAAUGCCGGUGGAUACUGUCGGGCUAGAGUACGGAAGAGGCGAGUGGAAUUCCUGGUGUAGCGGUGAAAUGCGCAGAUAUCAGGAGGAACACCGGUGGCGAAGGCGGGUCUCUGGGCCGAUACUGACGCUGAGGAGCGAAAGCGUGGGGGAGCGAACAGG